rnacentral:rRNA from 1 species
CGCUAUCACUCCUACGGGGAGGCAGCAGUAGGGAAUCUUCCACAAUGGGCGCAAGCCUGAUGGAGCAACACCGCGUGAGUGAAGAAGGGUUUCGGCUCGUAAAGCUCUGUCGUUAAAGAAGAACACGUAUGAGAGUAACUGUUCAUACGUUGACGGUAUUUAACCAGAAAGUCACGGCUAACUACGUGCCAGCAGCCGCGGUAAUACGUAGGUGGCAAGCGUUAUCCGGAUUUAUUGGGCGUAAAGAGAGUGCAGGCGGUUUUCUAAGUCUGAUGUGAAAGCCUUCGGCUUAACCGGAGAAGUGCAUCGGAAACUGGAUAACUUGAGUGCAGAAGAGGGUAGUGGAACUCCAUGUGUAGCGGUGGAAUGCGUAGAUAUAUGGAAGAACACCAGUGGCGAAGGCGGCUACCUGGUCUGCAACUGACGCUGAGACUCGAAAGCAUGGGUAGCGAACAGGAUUAGAUACCCUGGUAG